rnacentral:lncRNA from 1 species
UUAUGAACCAGGGUAUUGCCUCCAACCAAGCCUUAACAAUCUCAUCCUCCCUUUAGCCUUCCAUGAUUAGACCUCAACUCAUGAGAACUCUUGCCUUGCUCACAAGUGGGAGUAAAUGCUCAUAGCUCUAGAAAUCUCCCAGGAACCAGACAUCACGGAAACUAGAAAGGCUAAGGGAGUCCAAUCUUCCUCUAAAUUGGCCAACAGUAGAGUGGUGGAAAGAGAACAAGCUGCAAACCAGACAGACCCAAGCUUGAAUCUCACCUCUGCCAAGCUACCAGGGUAUGGUCCAAGUAGGUUAUACAAGUCUCUACCUCUUCUAGCUGAAGCCAACCUCCCAGGAAAAGGAUGAGAGGAGAAAGCCAUCCUGCCUGGUGUGUGGAUAAUACCACCACCAGAGUCUCCUGUAAUUUUGAUUCGAUGGCAUGCAGCUGCGUGACCUAAGGCACGUAUCUCCAUUCACAGGGUGUGGUCAGUACUCGCUCAACAAACUACAGACCACGGGCCAA